rnacentral:rRNA from 1 species
CCUACGGGGUGCAGCAGUGAGGAAUAUUGGUCAAUGGACGAGAGUCUGAACCAGCCAAGUAGCGUGAAGGAUGACUGCCCUAUGGGUUGUAAACUUCUUUUAUAUAGGAAUAAAAUGUUCCACGUGUGGGAUUUUGUAUGUACCAUAUGAAUAAGGAUCGGCUAACUCCGUGCCAGCAGCCGCGGUAAUACGGAGGAUCCGAGCGUUAUCCGGAUUUAUUGGGUUUAAAGGGAGCGUAGGUGGAUUGUUAAGUCAGUUGUGAAAGUUUGCGGCUCAACCGUAAAAUUGCAGUUGAAACUGGCAGUCGUGAGUACAGUAGAGGUGGGCGGAAUUCGUGGUGUAGCGGUGAAAUGCUUAGAUAUCACGAAGAACUCCGAUUGCGAAGGCAGCUCACUGGACUGCAACUGACACUGAGGCUCGAAAGUGUGGGUAUCAAACAGGAUUAGAUACCCUUGUAGUC